UACGUAGGGUGCGAGCGUUGUCCGGAAUUAUUGGGCGUAAAGAGCUCGUAGGCGGUCUGUCGCGUCGAAUGUGAAAACCCGGGGCUCAACUCCGGGCUUGCAUUCGAUACGGGCAGGCUAGAGUUCGGUAGGGGAGUCUGGAAUUCCUGGUGUAGCGGUGAAAUGCGCAGAUAUCAGGAGGAACACCGGUGGCGAAGGCGAGACUCUGGGCCGAUACUGACGCUGAGGAGCGAAAGCGUGGGGAGCGAACAGG
rnacentral:rRNA from 1 species